UCGGGUAUGGUGUAACGGCUAACAUUGCCGCCUCUCAUAUGAGCACAACGCGGCAGCUCGGGGUUCGAUUCCCCGUACCCGAA